CAGUAGCCGCGGUAAUACGAAGGGUGCAAGCGUUAAUCGGAAUUACUGGGCGUAAAGCGUGCGUAGGCGGUGAGUUAAGUCUGCUGUGAAAUCCCCGGGCUCAACCUGGGAAUGGCAAUGGAUACUGGCAAGCUAGAGUGUGUCAGAGGAUGGUGGAAUUCCCGGUGUAGCGGUGAAAUGCGUAGAGAUCGGGAGGAACGUCAGUGGCGAAGGCGGCCAUCUGGGACAACACUGACGCUGAGGCACGAAAGCGUGGGGAGCAAACAGGAUUAGAUACCCCCGUAGUCCCUGUCUCUUAUAA
rnacentral:rRNA from 1 species